UACGAAGGGGGCUAGCGUUGCUCGGAAUCACUGGGCGUAAAGCGCACGUAGGCGGAUCGUUAAGUCAGGGGUGAAAUCCUGGAGCUCAACUCCAGAACUGCCUUUGAUACUGGCGACCUUGAGUUCGGGAGAGGUGAGUGGAACUGCGAGUGUAGAGGUGAAAUUCGUAGAUAUUCGCAAGAACACCAGUGGCGAAGGCGGCUUACUGGUCCGGUUCUGACGCUGAGGCGCGAAAGCGUGGGGAGCAAACAGGG
rnacentral:rRNA from 1 species